CUGCUGCCAAGGUUUCCACUAUGGGUGCAAGAAAAAAGUCCUCCCACUUUCUGCCUGUCUCAUUGUGGCAGCUCAGAUUGAAUGGGGGAGUACAGGA
rnacentral:snoRNA from 1 species